rnacentral:rRNA from 1 species
UACGUAGGGCGCGAGCGUUGUCCGGAUUUAUUGGGCGUAAAGAGCUCGUAGGCGGCUUGUCGCGUCGUCCGUGAAAACUUGGGGCUCAACCCCAAGCUUGCGGUCGAUACGGGCAGGCUAGAGUUCGGUAGGGGAGACUGGAAUUCCUGGUGUAGCGGUGAAAUGCGCAGAUAUCAGGAGGAACACCGGUGGCGAAGGCGGGUCUCUGGGCCGAUACCGACGCUGAGGAGCGAAAGCGUGGGGAGCGAACAGG